UACAGAGGGUGCAAGCGUUGUCCGGAUUCAUUGGGCGUAAAGAGCGUGUAGGCGGCCAGGUAGGUCGGUUGUGAAAACUGGAGGCUCAACCUUCAGAGGUCGACCGAAACCAUCUGGCUAGAGUCCGGGAGAGGAGAGUGGAAUUCCUGGUGUAGCGGUGAAAUGCGCAGAUAUCAGGAAGAACACCCGUGGCGAAAGCGGCUCUCUGGAACGGUACUGACGCUGAGACGCGAAAGCGUGGGGAGCGAACAGG
rnacentral:rRNA from 1 species